rnacentral:rRNA from 1 species
GAUGAACGCUGGCGGCGUGCCUAAUACAUGCAAGUCGAGCGAACUGAUUAGAAGCUUGCUUCUAUGACGUUAGCGGCGGACGGGUGAGUAACACGUGAGCAACCUGCCUGUAAGACUGGGAUGACUUCGGGAAACCGAAGCUAAUACCGGAUAGGAUCUUCUCCUUCAUGGGAGAUGAUUGAAAGAUGGUUUCGGCUAUCACUUACAGAUGGGCCCGCGGUGCAUUAGCUAGUUGGUGAGGUAACGGCUCACCAAGGCAACGAUGCAUAGCCGACCUGAGAGGGUGAUCGGCCACACUGGGACUGAGACACGGCCCAGACUCCUACGGGAGGCAGCAGUAGGGAAUCUUCCGCAAUGGACGAAAGUCUGACGGAGCAACGCCGCGUGAGUGAUGAAGGCUUUCGGGUCGUAAAACUCUGUUGUUAGGGAAGAACAAGUACAAGAGUAACUGCUUGUACCUUGACGGUACCUAACCAGAAAGCCACGGCUAACUACGUGCCAGCCGCCGCCGUAA